rnacentral:rRNA from 1 species
CCUACGGGAGGCAGCAGUGAGGAAUAUUGGUCAAUGGGCUUACGCCUGAACCAGCCAAGUCGCGUGAGGGAAGACUGCCCUAUGGGUUGUAAACCUCUUUUGUCAGGGAGCAACGCCGGCUACGUGUAGCCGGACUGAGAGUACCUGAAGAAAAAGCAUCGGCUAACUCCGUGCCAGCAGCCGCGGUAAUACGGAGGAUGCGAGCGUUAUCCGGAUUUAUUGGGGUUAAAGGGUGCGUAGGCGGAAUGCCAAGUCAGCGGUAAAGUCGCGGGGCUCAACCUCGCUCCGCCGUUGAAACUGGCGUUCUUGAGUGGGCGAGAGGUAUGCGGAAUGCGUGGUGUAGCGGUGAAAUGCAUAGAUAUCACGCAGAACUCCGAUUGCGAAGGCAGCAUACCGGCGCCCAACUGACGCUGAGGCACGAAAGCGUGGGGAUCGAACAGGAUUAGAUACCCUGGUAGUC